UACGGAGGGGGCUAGCGUUGUUCGGAAUUAUUGGGCGUAAAGGGCGCGUAGGCGGCCUGGUAAGUCAGUUGUGAAAGCCCUCGGCUCAACCGAGGAAUUGCGACUGAUACUGCUGGGCUGGAGUCCCGGAGAGGGUAGCGGAAUUCCCAGUGUAGCGGUGAAAUGCGUAGAUAUUGGGAGGAACAUCAGUGGCGAAGGCGGCUACCUGGACGGGUACUGACGCUGAGGCGCGAAAGCUAGGGGAGCAAACAGG
rnacentral:rRNA from 1 species